rnacentral:rRNA from 1 species
UACGUAGGAUGCGAGCGUUGUUCGGAAUUAUUGGGCGUAAAGCGUACGUAGGUGGUAUUGUAAGUCUGAUAUUAAAGACCGAAGCUUAACUUCGGGAAUGUAUAAGAAACUGUAAUACUAGAGGCUAGUAGAGGAAGCUGGAAUUCUCAGUGUAGCGGUGAAAUGCGUAGAUAUUGGGAAGAACACCAGUGGCGAAAGCGAGCUUCUGGGCUAGUACUGACGCUGAGGUACGAAAGCGUGGGGAGCAAACGGG